rnacentral:antisense_RNA from 1 species
UCCUAUCAUGUCUGCAGAGCUCCAAGGCUGGGGGCGAUGUUGAGGCCGAAGCCAGCCACAGUGCCUCAGCUGUGCCUUUCCUGGAGAGUGGGUGGCCGCCCCCAGCACAUCCCUGGCACAUGGGCUUGCAUAACACUCUUGUCCCACCAUCUCUAGCACAAGACUAUGGCCACAUCUCCCCAACCACUCAGCCCGCACAGCGUGCAAAGGUGGGGAGUUCACUUUAAUGGCAUUCCUCCAACGACUUAUUGUAAAAGAAACAAGGCAUCUCAUCCUGGGUUGCGACACCCAGCAGCAUCCAUUUAGACCACCAAGGGCAGGCUGCGCCGGGUGCACAGGGAUCCCGCUGCGGCUCGGCGAAAGCCGGAGUCCUGGGAUCCAGAGCAGCCCAGGGAGCCCUGGAGUCUGGAAAGGACACAGCAGUGGGGGCGGCGGCAGCAACUCCAGCUCUGAGCCCAUCGGCACUCCGCACGGUGGCCCCAGCCAGCUGGAGGCAGGCUCAGGAGCGGCUCCUGUCCUUGUGGUUCCCCACGAUCAUCUUGCUUUAUAAUUGGUUCUGCUCAGCAGGUUCCAGGACUCCAGUUCUUCUGCUGAGAAUCUCUUUGUCACCUCAUCAUCCAUAAUGGUCUCCAUUCCUUUCCGGCAAAAGUAGAAAAUGUCAGAGAGCUCGAACUCUGGAGUGUUGUCCAGAGCCUUACUACUACCACUUCGACGAAUCUCUUUGAUC